UACAGAGGUCUCAAGCGUUGUUCGGAUUCAUUGGGCGUAAAGGGUGUGUAGGUGGCGCGCUAAGUCGGGUGUGAAAUUUCGGAGCUUAACUCCGAAACUGCAUUCGAUACUGGCGUGCUUGAGGACUGGAGAGGAGACUGGAAUUCAUGGUGUAGCAGUGAAAUGCGUAGAGAUCAUGAGGAAGACCAGUGGCGAAAGGCGGGUCUCUGGGACAGUUCCUGACACUGAGACACGAAGGCCAGGGGAGCAAACGGG
rnacentral:rRNA from 1 species